AUCACCUCCUUUGACCUGCUGGCCGCAGUCCUUUUAAUACACUUAAGGAUCCCAUUGGCCUUCUUGGCCAUCAGGGCACGCUGCUGGCUCAUGGCCAACCCAUCAUCCACUAGGACGUAAAACAAGGGAUGACAUGUCCUUCUUCCAGAAUGCGUACUGCACAAUCCAUCUACGUGCAAAACCAAACCAAUUUAUCCUCUUCUAAGAAAUAUUAUUGUGUGUCUGUGUAUUAGUCUGUAUGUUUAUGUCAUUCUCUUUUCAAGAGCAGGGAGGAGAGGCAUGAAUAGGUUGUUCUAAGUUAGUACUGGAUCAUUUGCAUUUUAAAGUUAGCAAGGAAAAUCCCAUGCAAUAUAGAGGCUCAAAAAUGCUUCAUUUUAACUGAACAAUCAAUUAAGUGGGCGGUCUGGUUUGUAUAAGGUCAUACCACCAUUUCCCUAAUGUGGAAGCGUUUGACACUGGAAAAUGACUGUUUUAAGUCAUCAUCCAAACAAAAAAGAAUACUGAUUUUUAAGCAUCGCAUUGCCUUGUACCAGUAGAAACUUCAGUUAUUUUUGAGUUGUGAUUCACUGAGGAAAUUGAAGAGUUUAGCUGGUAAACAAGAACUGUGAAGCCUUUGGAUUUUUGGAGUCACAGCUGCUCUACGUGCUCUACGUGCGGGGCUAUGUAAAGUGCGUCUGAAGCUGAUGCCUCAAUAUGAAGAAAUGCAGCUUAAUAAGAAAAUGUAUAUCCCACAGGUAAUCAUAUUCCCUGUUUUAAAAUUUGCCACGGUUUGUUAAAUUGGCAUUUGUUUUGCAGCGCUGCUCACACAUAUACAGUAAUAUUUCAGUGUUUACUUCUUAAUUGGUACUUUGAUUUAGAUAAUAUCAAUAUUGAUCUUAUCAUGCAUUUAAUCAUCUUAGUCACUAAGAGACUGCCUCUUGUCAUAACAUCUCACCCAGAAUUGCCAAAUUUCUUUGUAAUGAUGGUAAUAAUCUUCUCAUGAAGAUUAAAAUUCCUGCUCAUUGGCAAGAAGUCGUGUUUCACUGGCAAAAAGCUUCAUGAGUGAGAGAAGGACAAAACUGCCUUUAUCUACAGAUGAUAAAUGGAGGAAAAUGUUAGCAUCUUGAUUAGCCAGGACAUGAAGUCAACAUCUAUUUAAAGAGCACGAAAGAUGAAGAACGUUCGUCAUUUUCAUUCAUCAGCGGAAUGUGUAGAAAAAUACACAUUCAAGUAAAGUAAAUUGUGCAGUAUUUGCUGAAGAGAUUUUGUGAACAGCUGCUGUGAACAUAUUCAUGUUCCACUAGGGGUUGUAGUUGUCACACAUCUAGGUAAACUUCCCACUUGCAAGACCAAAGUGUAGGCAGGCCAAUCUCACAGGGCGUGAAACAGGAGUAUUAGCUCUCUAGCUGUCUAUGAAGCUAAGAAUCUUCCCACAAACCUAAUGAAUCAGCUCUCCUGUGAGAACAAAGGAAUCUUUAAAGUGGAAAUGGCUUUGGUGGUAUAUCCUGAAAUAAAAGUGCAAUGGUUU
ensembl:lncRNA